rnacentral:rRNA from 1 species
UGGGGAAUAUUGCACAAUGGGCGCAAGCCUGAUGCAGCCAUGCCGCGUGUAUGAAGAAGGCCUUCGGGUUGUAAAGUACUUUCAGCGGGGAGGAAGGGAGUAAAGUUAAUACCUUUGCUCAUUGACGUUACCCGCAGAAGAAGCACCGGCUAACUCCGUGCCAGCAGCCGCGGUAAUACGGAGGGUGCAAGCGUUAAUCGGAAUUACUGGGCGUAAAGCGCACGCAGGCGGUUUGUUAAGUCAGAUGUGAAAUCCCCGGGCUCAACCUGGGAACUGCAUCUGAUACUGGCAAGCUUGAGUAUCGUAGAGGGGGGUAGAAUUCCAGGUGUAGCGGUGAAAUGCGUAGAGAUCUGGAGGAAUACCGGUGGCGAAGGCGGCCCCCUGGACGAAGACUGACGCUCAGGUGCGAAAGCGUGGGGAGCAAACAGG